CUAAACCUCAAUGAGCUAGGAAGAACCAGUGCCACCGCUGUGCCGUUGUCGUGGACACCGUCAUUGCCACCAUUGUUGCGAUUGGAGUUGACGUUGUGCUGCAAGGGUGGAAUGGGCUAUGGUUGUGGCUGCCGAGGUCUUAAGCCAAGAGAAAACGGAGCUUGUCGCGUAGUUAAGUCUUGAUCGAGGUAGGGGUGGUUUCCUUAAACUCAUUUUAUUUUCGAGAAUUGUUAUAAAUCGAUAUUGAUGCAAAAAUAUAUUUUUGGUGAUUAUAUUAGUCUUAUGAAUUGACUUGAGUUGCCUUUAAUGGAUGUAAAUGCUUGUUUCAAUGGUUUAUUGAUUUAUUGAAGAUGUUUAGUCAGGUUUGUACUUUGUUUAAGGUUGUUAUGAUGAUGAUUGGAUUGUGGCUGUUUCUGAUUAUUGA